GAUCCUGGCUCAGGAUGAACGCUAGCUACAGGCUUAACACAUGCAAGUCGAGGGGCAGCAUGGAGUUGCUUGCAAACUCUGAUGGCGACCGGCGCACGGGUGAGUAACGCGUAUCCAACCUUCCCUAUAGUAGAGGAUAGCCCGGCGAAAGUCGGAUUAAUACUCUAUGUUUUCCGUUGCAGACAUCUAAGAUGGAACAAAGGCUUGCCGCUAUAGGAUGGGGAUGCGUCUGAUUAGGUAGUCGGCGGGGUAACGGCCCACCGAGCCAUCGAUCAGUAGGGGUUCUGAGAGGAAGGUCCCCCACAUUGGAACUGAGACACGGUCCAAACUCCUACGGGAGGCAGCAGUGAGGAAUAUUGGUCAAUGGGCGAGAGCCUGAACCAGCCAAGUAGCGUGCAGGACGACGGCCCUAUGGGUUGUAAACUGCUUAUAUGCGGGGAUAAAGUUCACUACGUGUAGUGUUUUGUAGGUACCGCAUGAAUAAGGACCGGCUAAUUCCGUGCCAGCAGCGGC
rnacentral:rRNA from 1 species